CGAGAGGAAUCCAAUGAGGGGUCGUUUGUCUGUAUGCAGAAAUCUGGGACCAAGCUAUUGUCCUGCAAAUGAGGAGAGCGUCAGCUCCAUCUUGAUUUACUCUUCAACAACAAAACAUCGAAAGAGCCUCCAGUCCAACUGGGAGUGCUGGUGUUAGGGCCCUUCAUGUGCACCAGAGGCCGUUAGCUGCAGCACUGGAUGGACACGGUCAACACUACAUAGGAGCCGGUGAAGCUGUGGCACUAAGUGGACAGAGCCAUUUAAGGAACCGAACAUGAACAGAUCCACAGACACAUGUGCAUGUACAUACUGUGACGAUCCACGUCAGCCAUUGGGGGGUGCAGAGGUGCAUCAUGGGAGUUCUAAAUAAAUGACAGAGAAAGCAGUGUUGCAUUGGUGGUCACUGUAAAAGGUACACGCCCAGGCGAUAUCCAGAGUCGUGCGGUGUAUGGGGCCUGGAAUAAUCGCUAACCAAGAUCAGCAUAGGUGCUAGCGCCCUGCUAACUAGUUUAGCUGUACUAGUGUAGCUAGUCUCUCUCCUCCACCCCGGGGGUCAUUACACUACACAAGCAUGAGAUAAUAGAAUAAAAACAUUAAUAAAUGUGUUCAUUUGUAAAAUGCCUUGAGGCAAUUUCCAUUGGCUAAUAAAAGCGUAUCUAGAUGUGUUUGUAAUCGCAUGUGAUUUUUACUUUGUCAGUGUGCACAGCAGAUAUUUCUACGCUGGAGCCUGAGGAAGUUCGGCCGCUAUCCCCAUCCGCCUCCUAGUGCGCAUGUGCAGUGGAACGCGGAAGCAAUCCCGGAAGAAAAACAAAUUUGCCGUGUACGCCAGGCGAGCAACAUUCAGUGGGGAAAAUAAAUAGAAUAAAUUAAUGUAUUUGUGUUAUUAAAAAACAUUAUCACAAUACAGACACUGAGAAAUCUCCUACCUUUUCCCAAUAGAUCUAUGGGAAGAAUGGUCUCCAUCUUGUGAUUCGGUAUCCAGCUGUUAUAAUAUAUUGAUGGGUCGUACAAGGGUUGAAUAUAGUUUAUUGUUAUAAUCGGUCCUAUUGGUGUUUGUGUCUGGUUGGCACCAUGAAGAUAAACGAGAACACUCUACUGGAGGGACACAAAGUUGUGUUGGUUCCUUACAAUGCAAACCACGUGCCCAGGUAACGUUAACAUUAACAUCUGAUCAGUGUUAGAAGCCUGUCACUUCUUUUAUUUUCCUCUGCUGAUGUCUUUAGUGAUCAAUGUUUGAAUAUAAAUCACACAUAAGUGUGAAACCAUUAAACCUUUAAACACACGAUAAAUCGUGUUUCAAAAUACAUUAUGCAUAAUGACAGUCUCACUUACUCUCACAGUUCAUAUUUUCGUCCGUUCAAGACAUGAAGCAGCAUGAACAUCAUGGGACCGGGAAACACCAGACAAAGGAGGAUACCGUUGUGUGCGGGGUCAACCAUCGGACCACGCCCACAUUGAGCUGGGCCCCGAUCUGCACGCUGCACUCAGGGGGGCUUCUCAAACCGGACCCCCAUCACCUUUGGGUUUGAGCCUAGACCUGAAAGGGACAAAAAUGUCAAACAAAAAAGAAAACAGACAUGGUUCUUUUUUUGUUUUAUAAGAUGUAGCCUAU